rnacentral:rRNA from 1 species
UGGGGAAUAUUGGACAAUGGGGCGAAAGCCUGAUCCAGCCAUGCCGCGUGAGUGAUGAAGGCCCUAGGGUUGUAAAGCUCUUUUGUGCGGGAAGAUAAUGACGGUACCGCAAGAAUAAGCCCCGGCUAACUUCGUGCCAGCAGCCGCGGUAAUACGAAGGGGGGUCUAGCGUUGCUCGGAAUCACUGGGCGUAAAGGGUGCGUAGGCGGGUUUCUAAGUCAGAGGUGAAAGCCUGGAGCUCAACUCCAGAACUGCCUUUGAUACUGGAAGUCUUGAGUUCGGGAGAGGUGAGUGGAACUGCGAGUGUAGAGGUGAAAUUCGUAGAUAUUCGCAAGAACACCAGUGGCGAAGGCGGCUCACUGGCCCGAUACUGACGCUGAGGCACGAAAGCGUGGGGAGCAAACAGGAUUAGAUACCCUGGUAGUCCACGCCGUAAAACGAUGAAUGCCAGCCGUUAGUGGGUUUUACUCACUAGUGGCGCAGCUAACGCUUUUAAGCAUUCCGCCUGGGGAGUACGGUCGCAAGAUUAAAAACUUAAAGNGAAUUUGACGGGGGUCAUAGCUGUUUCCU